rnacentral:rRNA from 1 species
UACGUAGGGUCCGAGCGUUGUCCGGAAUUAUUGGGCGUAAAGAGCUCGUAGGCGGUUUGUCGCGUCUGCUGUGAAAUCCCGAGGCUCAACCUCGGGCCUGCAGUGGGUACGGGCAGACUUGAGUGCGGUAGGGGAGAAUGGAAUUCCUGGUGUAGCAGUGAAAUGCGUAGAUAUCAGGAGGAACACCGAUGGCGAAGGCAGGUCUCUGGGCUGACACUGACGCUCAUGCACGAAAGCGUGGGGAGCAAACAGG